UGAGUCACCCCUGCAUAGCUGUGGUGCGGCGUGUGAGUUGGACAGCCCGACCCACCUGAUUUCUAAUACUUGUAGCCCUGUUUCUUCAAGAUGCCUGAAGACAUGCACUGUGGAGAGGAGGAGGUGGAGACUCUUGCCUUUCAGGCAGAAAUUGCCCAGCUCACGUCUCUCAUCAUCAAUACUUUCUAUUCCAACAAGGAAACCUUCCUUCGAGAGUUGAUCUCUAAUGCUUCUGAUGCCUUGGACAAGAUUCUUUAUGAGAGCCUGACAGAUCCUUCCAAGUUGGACAGUGGUAAAGAGUUAAAAAUUGACAUCAUCCCCAACCCUCAGGAACAAACUCUGACCUUGGUGGACACAGGCAUUGGCAUGACCAAGGCUGAUCUCAUAAAUAAUUUGGGAACUAUUGCAAAGUCUGGUACUAAAGCAUUUAUGGAGGCUCUUCAGGCUGGUGCAGAUAUCUCCAUGACUGGGCGGUUUGGUGUUGGCUUUUAUCCUGAUUAACUAGUGUCAGAGAAGGUGGUCAUGAUCACAAAACACAACGAAGAUGAACAGUGUGCCUGGGAAUCUUCUGCUGGGGAUUCCUUCACUGUUCGUGCUGAUCAUGGUGAGCCCAUUGGCAGGAGCACCAACGUGAGCCUCCACCUGAAAGAAGACCAGACAGAGAACUCAGAGAAGAGGUGGGUCAAAAAAGUAGUGAAGAAGCAUUCACAGUUCAUAGGCUAUCCCAACACCCUUUACUUGGAGAAGGAAAGCAGUGACGAUGAGGCAGAAGAAGAGAAAGGUGAGAAAGAAGAGGAAGAUAAAGAUGAUGAAGAGAAGACCAAGAUCCAAGAUGUGGGCUCAGAUGAGGAGGAUGACCGCUGUAAGGAUAAGAAAAAGAAAACCAAAAAGAUUAAGGAACAAUACAUUGAUCUGGAAGAAUUAAACAAAACCAAGCCCAUUUGGACCAAAACCCCUGAUGACAUCACCCAGGAGGAGUAUGGAGAAUUCUUCAAGAGCCUCACCAUGGUUGGGAAGACCCUUUGCAGUCAAGCACUUUCCUGUAGAAGGUCAGUCGGGCUUCAGGGCAUUGCUUUUCAUCCCUCAUUGGGCUCCCUCUGACCUGUUUGAGAACAGAAAGAAAAAGAACAACAUUAAACUCUAUGUCUGUUGUUUGUUCAUCACAGACAGCUGUGAUGAGUUGAUAUCAGAGUAUCUCAACUUUAUCUGUGAUUGACUCUGAGGAUCUGCCCCUGGACAUCUCCCGAGAAAUGCUUCAGCAGAGCAAAAUCCCAAAAGUGAUUUGCAAAAACACUGUUAAAAAGUGCCUUUAUUGGUUCUUUUCUGAGUUGGCAGAAGAAAAGGAGAACUAUAAGAAAUUUUAUGAGGCAUUUUCUAAAAAUUUGAAGCUUGGAAUACAUGAGAACUCCACUAACCUGCAACAUACCUCCCAAAUCUGGAGAUGACAUGCCUUCUCUGUCAGAGUACGUCUCUCUCUGUUCUAUGAAGGAAACACAGCCGUCCAUCUAUUACAUCACUGGUGAGAGCAAAGAGCAGGUGGCCAAGCCGGCGUUUGUGGAGCGAGUGCGGAAGCAGGGCUUUGAGGUGGUAUAUAUGAUGAGCACUGCGUGUAGCAGGUCAAGGAGUUAGAUGAGAAGAGCCUGGGCUCAGUUACCAUGGAGGGCCUGAAGCUACCCAAGCAUGAGGAAGACAAGAAGAAAAUGGAAGAGACCAAAGCAAAGUUGGAGAACCCCUUGGAUCAGAAGGUUGAGAAGGUGACAGUCUCCGGUAGGCUUGUGUCUUUAGCCUGCUGCAUUGGGACCAGGAGCUACGGCUGGACGGCCAACGUGGAGCAGAUCACAGGAGCCCAGGCACUUCCAGACAACUCCAGCUAUAUGAUGGUCAAAAACACCUGGAGAUGAACCUGACCACGUAACACACUCCUACCUCACGUCUAAUCACCACGUGACUCCCCACCAUGGAGACACUGCAGCAGAAGGCUGAGGUGGACAAAAGUGACAAGGCCGUCAAGGACCUGGUGGUGCUGCUAUUUGAAACUGCACUGCUCUCCUUUGGCUUCUCCCUUCAGGAUCCCCAAACUCCAGCUGCACUGAUGAAGAUGAAGUGACAGCAGAGGAACCCAGUGCUGCUGCUCCGAGGAGAUCCCACCCCUUGAGAGUGAUGAGGAUGCAUCUCACACGGAAGAAGUAGAUGAGGAGUUUAUACUUGGAUACCUUUUGCCCUCUGAAUCGUGUACCCAUGGUCCCACAGCCUUGAGUGGUCCUGUCCCGCUUGGCUUCCUCUACUAA